rnacentral:rRNA from 1 species
UUACAGAGUUUUCUAAACUCCCAACCCUAUGUGAACUUACCUUUGUUGCUUCGGCGGCGGAGGCUACCCUGCGGGAGAAUACCACUUAGUGGUUACCCUGUAGUUUCAGGUACAUCAGCUACCCGGUAGUCAUCCCCGCCGGCGGCCAACUAAACUCUGUUUUCUUUGGAAUUCUGAAUAACAAACUUAAUAAGUUAAAACUUUCAACAACGGAUCUCUUGGUUCUGGCAUCGAUGAAGAACGCAGCGAAAUGCGAUAAGUAAUGUGAAUUGCAGAAUUCAGUGAAUCAUCGAAUCUUUGAACGCACAUUGCGCCCAUUAGCAUUCUAGUGGGCAUGCCUGUUCGAGCGUCAUUUCACCACUUAAGCCUUGUUGCUUAGCGUUGGGAGCCUACGGCACGGCCCGUAGCUCCUUAAAGUGAUUGGCGGAGUUGGUUCUCACUCUAAGCGUAGUAAUUAUAUCUCGCUUCUGUAGUGGUCCCGGCCCCUGCCGUAAAACCCCUUAUACAAAGGUUGACCUCGGAUCAGGUAGGAAUACCCGCUGAACUUAAGC